UACGUAGGGUGCAAGCGUUGUCCGGAAUUAUUGGGCGUAAAGAGCUCGUAGGCGGUUUGUCGCGUCUGCCGUGAAAGUCCGGGGCUCAACUCCGGAUCUGCGGUGGGUACGGGCAGACUAGAGUGAUGUAGGGGAGACUGGAAUUCCUGGUGUAGCGGUGAAAUGCGCAGAUAUCAGGAGGAACACCGAUGGUGAAGGCAGGUCUCUGGGCAUUAACUGACGCUGAGGAGCGAAAGCAUGGGGAGCGAACAGG
rnacentral:rRNA from 1 species